UGGUUGGAGGACAGAGUGAGAUGGACAGAGGCGCAGAGAGAGUCGGUGUAUUUGUUGUUUAAUGAGGCAGUUUAUAUAUAUAUAUAUGUAUAUAUAUAUAUAUAGACUAACAGUUUAUAUAUUCUGAGAAGUUCAUUUCAGCUGCGUCACUUUCUUCAAAUUAGGAAGCUGCCCUGCAGAGCUUCUGUGGAAUUUCCAGUUUAUCGAUUAGCCGAUGAAAUAAGAACAUAAUGGCGGAGAGGGGGAAGAAAAGGAAGUCUUCUCUUUUCUGCUUGCAGCUGCUGGCUCUGCUCCAAAUCACCGCGCCCUCCUCAGCUCAGACCAGUACCACCACAAUCACCCCCACCAUCGCCACCCCCACCC